rnacentral:rRNA from 1 species
UGGGGAAUAUUGCACAAUGGGCGGUAGCCUGAUGCAGCGACGCCGCGUGAGGGAUGACGGCCUUCGGGUUGUAAACCUCUUUCAGCAGGGACGAAGCGAGAGUGACGGUACCUGCAGAAGAAGCGCCGGCCAACUACGUGCCAGCAGCCGCGGUAAGACGUAGGGCGCGAGCGUUGUCCGGAUUUAUUGGGCGUAAAGAGCUCGUAGGCGGCUUGUCGCGUCGACUGUGAAAACCCGCAGCUCAACUGCGGGCCUGCAGCCGAUACGGGCAGGCUAGAGUUCGGUAGGGGAGACUGGAAUUCCUGGUGUAGCGGUGAAAUGCGCAGAUAUCAGGAGGAACACCGGUGGCGAAGGCGGGUCUCUGGGCCGAUACUGACGCUGAGGAGCGAAAGCGUGGGGAGCGAACAGG